rnacentral:rRNA from 1 species
GAUGAACGCUCGCUACAGGCUUAACACAUGCAAGUCGCGGGGCAGCAUGGGGGUUGCUUGCAAUCCCCGAUGGCGACCGGCGCACGGGUGAGUAACGCGUAUCCAACCUGCCCUUCACCACGGGAUAACCCGGCGAAAGUCGGACUAAUACCGUAUGUUGUCCAUUGACGGCAUCCGAUUUGGACGAAAGGUUUGGCGGUGAAGGAUGGGGAUGCGUCCGAUUAGCUGGACGGCGGGGUGACGGCCCACCGUGGCGACGAUCGGUAGGGGUUCUGAGAGGAAGGUCCCCCACACUGGAACUGAGACACGGUCCAGACUCCUACGGGAGGCAGCAGUGAGGAAUAUUGGUCAAUGGGCGUAAGCCUGAACCAGCCAAGUAGCGUGCAGGAUGACGGCCCUAUGGGUUGUAAACUGCUUUUAUGCGGGGAUAAAGUGGCCCACGUGUGGGUUUUUGCAGGUACUGCAUGAAUAAGGACCGGCUAAUUCCGUG